GGGAAUCUCUUAUCGCUCAAAGACCCAAUCGGCGCUGAUGUCAGAUUUUUAUCCAGUUUGACCUCGGAUCAGGUAGGAGUACCCGCUGAACUUAAGCAUAUC
rnacentral:rRNA from 1 species